rnacentral:rRNA from 1 species
UUAAGCGACUAAGCGUACACGGUGGAUGCCCUGGCAGUCAGAGGCGAUGAAGGACGUGCUAAUCUGCGAUAAGCGUCGGUAAGGUGAUAUGAACCGUUAUAACCGGCGAUUUCCGAAUGGGGAAACCCAGUGUGUUUCGACACACUAUCAUUAACUGAAUCCAUAGGUUAAUGAGGCGAACCGGGGGAACUGAAACAUCUAAGUACCCCGAGGAAAAGAAAUCAACCGAGAUUCCCCCAGUAGCGGCGAGCGAACGGGGAGGAGCCCAGAGCCUGAAUCAGUGUGUGUGUUAGUGGAAGCGUCUGGAAAGGCGCGCGAUACAGGGUGACAGCCCCGUACACAAAAAUACACAUAUUGUGAGCUCGAUGAGUAGGGCGGGACACGUGGUAUCCUGUCUGAAUAUGGGGGGACCAUCCUCCAAGGCUAAAUACUCCUGACUGACCGAUAGUGAACCAGUACCGUGAGGGAAAGGCGAAAAGAACCCCGGCGAGGGGAGUGAAAAAGAACCUGAAACCGUGUACGUACAAGCAGUGGGAGCCUCUUUAUGGGGUGACUGCGUACCUUUUGUAUAAUGGGUCAGCGACUUAUAUUCUGUAGCAAGGUUAACCGAAUAGGGGAGCCGAAGGGAAACCGAGUCUUAACUGGGCGUUAAGUUGCAGGGUAUAGACCCGAAACCCGGUGAUCUAGCCAUGGGCAGGUUGAAGGUUGGGUAACACUAACUGGAGGACCGAACCGACUAAUGUUGAAAAAUUAGCGGAUGACUUGUGGCUGGGGGUGAAAGGCCAAUCAAACCGGGAGAUAGCUGGUUCUCCCCGAAAGCUAUUUAGGUAGCGCCUCGUGAAUUCAUCUCCGGGGGUAGAGCACUGUUUCGGCAAGGGGGUCAUCCCGACUUACCAACCCGAUGCAAACUGCGAAUACCGGAGAAUGUUAUCACGGGAGACACACGGCGGGUGCUAACGUCCGUCGUGAAGAGGGAAACAACCCAGACCGCCAGCUAAGGUCCCAAAGUCAUGGUUAAGUGGGAAACGAUGUGGGAAGGCCCAGACAGCCAGGAUGUUGGCUUAGAAGCAGCCAUCAUUUAAAGAAAGCGUAAUAGCUCACUGGUCGAGUCGGCCUGCGCGGAAGAUGUAACGGGGCUAAACCAUGCACCGAAGCUGCGGCAGCGACACUAUGUGUUGUUGGGUAGGGGAGCGUUCUGUAAGCCUGUGAAGGUGGCCUGUGAGGGUUGCUGGAGGUAUCAGAAGUGCGAAUGCUGACAUAAGUAACGAUAAAGCGGGUGAAAAGCCCGCUCGCCGGAAGACCAAGGGUUCCUGUCCAACGUUAAUCGGGGCAGGGUGAGUCGACCCCUAAGGCGAGGCCGAAAGGCGUAGUCGAUGGGAAACAGGUUAAUAUUCCUGUACUUGGUGUUACUGCGAAGGGGGGACGGAGAAGGCUAUGUUGGCCGGGCGACGGUUGUCCCGGUUUAAGCGUGUAGGCUGGUUUUCCAGGCAAAUCCGGAAAACCAAGGCUGAGGCGUGAUGACGAGGCACUACGGUGCUGAAGCGACAAAUGCCCUGCUUCCAGGAAAAGCCUCUAAGCAUCAGGUAACAUCAAAUCGUACCCCAAACCGACACAGGUGGUCAGGUAGAGAAUACCAAGGCGCUUGAGAGAACUCGGGUGAAGGAACUAGGCAAAAUGGUGCCGUAACUUCGGGAGAAGGCACGCUGAUAUGUAGGUGAAGCGACUUGCUCGUGGAGCUGAAAUCAGUCGAAGAUACCAGCUGGCUGCAACUGUUUAUUAAAAACACAGCACUGUGCAAACACGAAAGUGGACGUAUACGGUGUGACGCCUGCCCGGUGCCGGAAGGUUAAUUGAUGGGGUUAGCGGUAACGCGAAGCUCUUGAUCGAAGCCCCGGUAAACGGCGGCCGUAACUAUAACGGUCCUAAGGUAGCGAAAUUCCUUGUCGGGUAAGUUCCGACCUGCACGAAUGGCGUAAUGAUGGCCAGGCUGUCUCCACCCGAGACUCAGUGAAAUUGAACUCGCUGUGAAGAUGCAGUGUACCCGCGGCAAGACGGAAAGACCCCGUGAACCUUUACUAUAGCUUGACACUGAACAUUGAGCCUUGAUGUGUAGGAUAGGUGGGAGGCUUUGAAGUGUGGACGCCAGUCUGCAUGGAGCCGACCUUGAAAUACCACCCUUUAAUGUUUGAUGUUCUAACGUUGGCCCGUAAUCCGGGUUGCGGACAGUGUCUGGUGGGUAGUUUGACUGGGGCGGUCUCCUCCUAAAGAGUAACGGAGGAGCACGAAGGUUGGCUAAUCCUGGUCGGACAUCAGGAGGUUAGUGCAAUGGCAUAAGCCAGCUUGACUGCGAGCGUGACGGCGCGAGCAGGUGCGAAAGCAGGUCAUAGUGAUCCGGUGGUUCUGAAUGGAAGGGCCAUCGCUCAACGGAUAAAAGGUACUCCGGGGAUAACAGGCUGAUACCGCCCAAGAGUUCAUAUCGACGGCGGUGUUUGGCACCUCGAUGUCGGCUCAUCACAUCCUGGGGCUGAAGUAGGUCCCAAGGGUAUGGCUGUUCGCCAUUUAAAGUGGUACGCGAGCUGGGUUUAGAACGUCGUGAGACAGUUCGGUCCCUAUCUGCCGUGGGCGCUGGAGAACUGAGGGGGGCUGCUCCUAGUACGAGAGGACCGGAGUGGACGCAUCACUGGUGUUCGGGUUGUCAUGCCAAUGGCACUGCCCGGUAGCUAAAUGCGGAAGAGAUAAGUGCUGAAAGCAUCUAAGCACGAAACUUGCCCCGAGAUGAGUUCUCCCUGAGACUUAGAGUCUCCUGAAGGAACGUUGAAGACGACGACGUUGAUAGGCCGGGUGUGUAAGCGCAGCGAUGCGUUGAGCUAACCGGUACUAAUGAACCGUGAGGCUUAACCUU